rnacentral:lncRNA from 1 species
AAUUAAUAUCACCCUAUUAGGACAUGUACUAUUCAUCCAUACACUGAAAUCCUAUGAUCCAUGCACUGAAAUCCUAUUAAAAUUCGAAGUCCAAAACGUGAAUAUACCAUCGAUCGAAAUACAUAACAUUCAAGCCAAACAGUUGAAAUGUAGAUCUCAAUAGUUUUUCUCUGGCUCUCUCGAUUCUACUAUACAUUAUGUUAAAAUUGCUACGAAAUACUAUCUACUACACAAUAAAAUCAUAUUUUCGUACACUAACAUAAACUACACAAAUCUUAAAAUGACAUACUUGUUUUCCACAUAAAUAUAAAAACUAGACAUGGACUUUGAAAGUUUUAAAAUACAACAAAUACAAGUUCAAAAAGGUUCACAUUAUUUUUCAAUCAAAAAGGUCAUAUUACUUGGCCCUUGUUUGAACCACAUUAUUUUCCUUAGAAUGCAUUUUGAAUAGUGAAUUGAUGGAAAAUGUGUGGUUAAAAUAUAAAUUAAAGUUUUGAAUUUACGUAUAAUAUUAUUUUAUUGAUAAAUAUGUGAUUAAAACGAUGUCAAAUUACUAUUUAAGAAUAUAUAUAUUUUGAAAUAAUGUGGCUCAAACAUGCCGUAAAGGUUUUUUCUCUCUUUUCUCCACAUCUAUUAUACGGAGUCCGUUUUAACACCGAUGGUGUUCGAAUGAGCGUCAAGCACCGCUUCUUCGUCACCAACACUUCUUUUUUCUCAAUUACAUCAAUGGCAUUUGAGGGCCCCUCCAUUUUGUAAAAGAUCCUUGCAGUAUCCAACAAUGAUGAAAAAAUGUAUAGUAACCUAUCAAGUUUGGGGAAAAUGAGAAGACAAAAAAAAUCCAAUAAGGCUAGCAAUUUGUCAAUGAAAAAAUUGUCUUCGAUUCC